rnacentral:rRNA from 1 species
AGUCGUAACAAGGUUUCCGUAGGUGAACCUCGCGGAAGGAUCAUUAGUGAACAUAGGACGUCCAACUUAACUUGGAGUCCGAACUCUCACUUUCUAACCCUGUGCAUUUGUUUGGGGUAGUAGCCUUUCGGGGCGAAUCCCGUGAUUCACUUAUAAACACAAAGUCUAUGAAUGUAUUUAAUUUUAUAACAAAAUAAAACUUUCAACAACGGAUCUCUUGGCUCUCGCAUCGAUGAAGAACGCAGCGAAAUGCGAUAAGUAAUGUGAAUUGCAGAAUUCAGUGAAUCAUCGAAUCUUUGAACGCACCUUGCGCUCCAUGGUAUUCCGUGGAGCAUGCCUGUUUGAGUGUCAUGAAUACUUCAACCCUCCUCUUUCUUUAUGAUCGAAGAGGUGUUUGGAUUCUGAGCGUUUUGCUGGCCUCACGGUCGAGCUCGCUCGUAAUGCAUUAGCAUCCGCAAUCGAACUUCGGAUUGACUUGGCGUAAUAGACUAUUCGCUGAGGAAUUCUAGUCUUCGGACUAGAGCCGGGUUGGAUUAAAGGAAGCUCCUAAUCCUAAUGUCUAUUUUUAAGAUUAGAUCUCAAAUCAGGUAGGACUACCCGCUGAAUUUAAGCAUAUCAAUAUAAAAGUCG